UGUUGAAUACUUGAGAGGAGCUGCCCCUAGUACGAGAGGACCGGGGUGGACGUAUCUCUGGUGGACCUGUUGUCGCGCCAGCGGCAUAGCAGGGUAGCUAUAUACGGAAGGGAUAACCGCUGAAUGCAUCUAAGCGGGAAGCCCCCCUCAAAACCAGUUUUCCCUUGAGAGUCGUGGAAGACCACCACGUUGAUAGGCCAGAUGUGGAAGUGCGGUGACGCAUGAAGCUGACUGGUACUAAUUACUCGGA
rnacentral:rRNA from 1 species